UAACUCCUAUAACGAUACU
rnacentral:siRNA from 1 species